CAGCAGCCACGGGAAUACAGAGGGUGCAAGCGUUAAUCGGAAUUACUGGGCGUAAAGCGCGCGUAGGUGGUUUGUUAAGUUGGAUGUGAAAUCCCCGGGCUCAACCUGGGAACUGCAUUCAAAACUGACUGACUAGAGUAUGGUAGAGGGUGGUGGAAUUUCCUGUGUAGCGGUGAAAUGCGUAGAUAUAGGAAGGAACACCAGUGGCGAAGGCGACCACCUGGACUAAUACUGACACUGAGGUGCGAAAGCGUGGGGAGCAAACAGGAUUAGAUACCCCAGUAGUCCCUGUCUCUUAUAC
rnacentral:rRNA from 1 species